AGGGGCCUGAGGGGGAGAUGAAAAGAGGAUACAAGGAGGAAGGAGUCAAUAAGGAAAGGAGUGAGGAGAGCAGGUGAUGAGGCAAGGAGGAAGAGGAGGUGAAUCGAGGCAAAACAAGGAGGGAAGAGAAGAGACAGAGUGGGAAGGGAGGUGAACAGUAAACAAGGAUGUAGAAAAGGAGGCAAGUAGUGAGGAAAGGAAGCAAGGUGAGAGGAGAGGAAGGACGGAUGGGGAGGAGAGGAGAGGAGAAAAGGAUGGAGAGGAAACAAAUAGAGAGAUAUAGAGGGAGGAAACGAGUGAAAAAGGGAGGAAGGGUCACAAGGUGACAGGAGAGAAAGUAAGGAGGGAGGGUUGAGGAAAAGCAGAAGAGAGGAGACGAGGAGGGGGAAAGUAUGAAAGACCACCUACUUGUCCUGACGCUCCUCAUGAUUGGCUCGCUCCUGACCAAAGGCCCGGCCCUGGCUCCGCCCCCGCUGACGGUUGCCACGGUGAAGUUGUACUGUCGGCCUGGAAACAUCCCGCUCAGCACGCGGCCGGUCAGCUGGACCUGAGUGAUUGACAGGCGGUCCGGAGGCGCCCACUGCAGAUUGAAGCUGUCAAAGUCUCCGGAGGCGGGACCUGACCAGGACAACUCCAGCGUCUGAUUGGUCGAGCCUUGUUUGACGGACAGGUGGGUGGGCGGCUGAGGAGCUGGAAGAAAUAAAAUAUAUGAACUGUUGAAUUUAAAACUUUAUGGCUUUUAAUUUUAAAUACGGCAUGUCAUUUUGGUUGUGUUGGUGCAUAAAUCUUCCCUCUGUAUUUGUGUUUAUUUGUUUGUGUUUUCACGUGACAUACCGGUGCGCCCGAGCGCUGACACGUUAUUGGUCAUUUCUCCGCUGUGAGUGAUGACAUCAGCGCGGUACAGCCUACCAGCAACGAGCCCCGAGAACAUUUGACUGCUGAGAGUGACAGGUGGUAGACGUCCACGUGUCCAUCAGACGGACGCCACGAGAAGGAGAGCGAAGACGAGUUCUGGGACGACACCGUGAGGUUACUGACCGCCGCUGGACCUGAACCACAGAGGCUAUUCUUCACUCAAUAUGUAUUUUUAGAACGGCAGGAAUAAAAUCAAAUGUCAAACAAAUAUAUGAAAAGA